rnacentral:ncRNA from 1 species
AGGAGCCGUGUAAGGCGAGAGCCUUACGCACGGUUCUGUGAGGGCGUGAGGGGGAGGUUCCCUCGCGCUACUCGAC